GGUUAAGUGACUAAGCGUACACGGUGGAUGCCUAGGCAGUCAGAGGCGAUGAAGGGCGUGCUAAUCUGCGAAAAGCGUCGGUAAGGUGAUAUGAACCGUUAUAACCGGCGAUACCCGAAUGGGGAAACCCAGUGUGUUUCGACACACUAUCAUGUCAUGAAUACAUAGUGGCAUGAGGCGAACCGGGGGAACUGAAACAUCUAAGUACCCCGAGGAAAAGAAAUCAACCGAGAUUCCCCCAGUAGCGGCGAGCGAACGGGGAGGAGCCCAGAACCUGAAUCGGCUUGUGUGUUAGUGGAAGCGUCUGGAAAGUCGCGCAGCAAAGGGUGAUAGC
rnacentral:rRNA from 1 species